rnacentral:rRNA from 1 species
UACGUAGGGUGCAAGCGUUAAUCGGAAUUACUGGGCGUAAAGCGUGCGCAGGCGGCUUUGCAAGACAGAUGUGAAAUCCCCGGGCUUAACCUGGGAACUGCAUUUGUGACUGCAUGGCUGGAGUGCGGCAGAGGGGGAUGGAAUUCCGCGUGUAGCAGUGAAAUGCGUAGAGAUGUGGAGGAACACCGAUGGCGAAGGCAGCCUUCUGGGCCAAUACUGACGCUCAUGCACGAAAGCGUGGGGAGCAAACAGG